rnacentral:ncRNA from 1 species
GGAAACCGGCGGAAAUCCGGUGCGGUCGCGCCACUGUGAGCUCGCCGAACCCGGCGGGCGAGCCAGAC